CCUACGGGAGGCUGCAGUGGGGAAUAUUGGGCAAUGGGCGCAAGCCUGACCCAGCAACGCCGCGUGAAGGAAGAAGGCUUUCGGGUUGUAAACUUCUUUUCUUAGGGACGAAGAAAGUGACGGUACCUAAGGAAUAAGCCACGGCUAACUACGUGCCAGCAGCCGCGGUAAUACGUAGGUGGCAAGCGUUAUCCGGAUUUACUGGGUGUAAAGGGUGUGUAGGCGGGACUGCAAGUCAGAUGUGAAAACCAUGGGCUCAACCUGUGGCCUGCAUUUGAAACUGUAGGUCUUGUGUACGGGAGAGGCAGACGGAAUUCCUAGUGUAGCGGUGAAAUGCGUAGAUAUUAGGAGGAACACCAGUGGCGAAGGCGGUCUGCUGGACAGCAACUGACGCUGAGGCGCGAAAGCGUGGGGAGCAAACAGGAUUAGAUACCCUUGUAGUC
rnacentral:rRNA from 1 species